UUUAUCAAACCAGUUUGCUCAUCCCUAGAUAUGGUGGCCAUAAAGCAUGAUAUCUCAUGAUACGUAAAUGGCAAUACACUCAGUCUACACUGAAACCAGCAUACAGCUCUGUGAAAGGAGAGACUGAGAUGCUGAGCACCCACAAUUUGAACUGAAGUUAAUGGGAGCUGCUAGAUGCCCUGUGCCUCUGAAAGUCAGGACCCUUGUGAGAGACUACAGCAGAUUCCACAAAAGGAUUCCUUGUACAGGACUUUAGUAGGACCAUAUAAGCCCUGUACUUCAAAUCACUCACUUCAAUUUUUGUUUUAGUGAACAUUGCUGGCUAUGGACACUGAACACUGAAAGAAAGACUUUUCCUUUUCUGUUAAAUGACAACAAAAUUUUGUAUGGUUGUAACAUUAAAAUUGAUGGAGGUAGCAAUCAGUGUCUGAGAGUACUUCAAGCAUUAUUAAAUUCCCCUUUUCACUUGGAUUGAUCCAAGUAUGAAGCAAUAGCUCUCCCUCUUA